GUGGGGAAUUUUGGACAAUGGGCGCAAGCCUGAUCCAGCAAUGCCGCGUGCAGGAAGAAGGCCUUCGGGUUGUAAACUGCUUUUGUACGGAACGAAACGGUCCGGGUUAAUACCCUGGGCUAAUGACGGUACCGUAAGAAUAAGCACCGGCUAACUACGUGCCAGCAGCCGCGGUAAUACGUAGGGUGCAAGCGUUAAUCGGAAUUACUGGGCGUAAAGCGUGCGCAGGCGGUUUUGUAAGACAGGCGUGAAAUCCCCGGGCUCAGCCUGGGAAUUGCGCUUGUGACUGCAAGGCUGGAGUGCGGCAGAGGGGGAUGGAAUUCCGCGUGUAGCAGUGAAAUGCGUAGAUAUGCGGAGGAACACCGAUGGCGAAGGCAAUCCCCUGGGCCUGCACUGACGCUCAUGCACGAAAGCGUGGGGAGCAAACAGGAUUAGAUACCCGAGUAGUCC
rnacentral:rRNA from 1 species